rnacentral:lncRNA from 1 species
UUUUUUUUCUCUCUUUUUUUUUGAUUAAUGCCCCAGUUGGCUGUUCUGCUGAUUCUUGAGAUGCAGCUGAGUGUGAUCUUCUUUUCUUGCUCAAGAAGUCGGGAAAUCUCGUCAGGAAUCCCUUCAAUCAUGAUCUUCUUCCGCUUCGAAUACAGGGAAUUCAAAAUUGGGAGAUGACGUCCGAUCCUUAUGUUCAAUGGGUUUGAGAAACAACCUGCAUAAAGAUUUUGAGUAUAAAAAGCACUUUGAAAAUCAAACAAGACAAUCGUUAUGCAGAUGAAAAGAUUGCUUUUAUUCUUGUUUUUUAAGGUUUUUUGUGAUCACCAAUUUCAUGCAAAAAGCGAAAAGGGAAAACAAAUGGAAAAAC